AGAGUGCUCCUUUGAGAUUGAAGACGAUGAUGGAGCUAAAGUUCUUGCAAGCCCAGUUGCAGCCAAGAAGACUAAAAGCAGCUCAGUUAAAUGGUCUAAAGAUUAGACGGAAGCAAUUAAAUGCUUCUUCCGAAGUUACAUCUUUGAUAGAAAAGAGAACAAUACUGGUAACCUACCUAGUAAAAGAGAAGUCCAGGAGUCCUUGGAAAAAACAUGAUAUGCAUUCAUUAGAAGGGCUGAGUGAGAAGACCAAACUGUUGAAAAUAAGAUCUAAAAUAUUCAACGAGAGGAAAACAAUGAGACUUAGGACACUUAAAAAAUUAGAUGAAAUGAAAUCAUAGAAAAUAUAAAAAUGAAUCUCAGCAUUUUACAUGUCAUGUAACUGUAAUGUAACAACAAGACGUAGGGCAUUUAUUAUAAUGUAUUUUUAGCUCACCGAGACGAAGGCCGGGGGAGCUUAUGCUAUACAGUCAGGGUCCGGACCUGGUUAAAGUUUUUGUCUUAUAGUUUUUGUCUUAUAAGUCAUAAAGUGGCCCUAAAGGUGAUAAAUAUUUCAGACGACAUCCUAAUGUCUUUAUGUUUGAAGAAAAACUAAUAUUUUCUAGCUGCAUAAUCCUGUUUGUCCUUUUAUAUUUUUUCUCUGCCAUGCAUUUGAUCAGUCAUUUUUGCUCCCAGAGUAACUUUUAAACUUUGUCAAUUUAUUAUAUAUGUACUUAUUAUCAUUGUUAUUCAUUAACAUUUGUUAAUGAAUGGUUCAUUCAAAAGAUGAUCUUUG